rnacentral:rRNA from 1 species
AGAAUCAACGCUGGCGGCGUGCCUAACACAUGCAAGUCGCACGAGAAAGCGGAGCAAUCCGUGAGUAAAGUGGCGCACGGGUGAGUAACACGUGAAUGAUCUACCUCCGAGUGGGGAAUAACUGAGAGAAAUCUUAGCUAAUACCGCAUAACACUUACGAGUCAAAGCAGCAAUGCGCUUGGAGAGGAGUUCGCGGCCGAUUAGUUAGUUGGCGGGGUAAUGGCCCACCAAGACGAUGAUCGGUAUCCGGCCUGAGAGGGCGCACGGACACACUGGAACUGAAACACGGUCCAGACUCCUACGGGAGGCAGCAGUGGGGAAUUUUGCGCAAUGGGGGAAACCCUGACGCAGCAACGCCGCGUGGAGGAUGAAAUAUCUUGGUAUGUAAACUCCUUUCGAUGGGGAAGAUAAUGACGGUACCCAUAGAAGAAGCCCCGGCUAACUUCGCGCCAGCAGCCGC